rnacentral:rRNA from 1 species
GAUGAACGCUGGCGGCGUGCCUAAUACAUGCAAGUCGAGCGAACGGACGAGAAGCUUGCUUUUCUGAUGUUAGCGGCGGACGGGUGAGUAACACGUGGAUAACCUACCUAUAAGACUGGGAUAACUUCGGGAAACCGGAGCUAAUACCGGAUAAUAUUUUGAACCGCAUGGUUCAAAAGUGAAAGACGGUCUUGCUGUCACUUAUAGAUGGAUCCGCGCUGCAUUAGCUAGUUGGUAAGGUAACGGCUUACCAAGGCAACGAUGCAUAGCCGACCUGAGAGGGUGAUCGGCCACACUGGAACUGAGACACGGUCCAGACUCCUACGGGAGGCAGCAGUAGGGAAUCUUCCGCAAUGGGCGAAAGCCUGACGGAGCAACGCCGCGUGAGUGAUGAAGGUCUUCGGAUCGUAAAACUCUGUUAUUAGGGAAGAACAUAUGUGUAAGUAACUGUGCACAUCUUGACGGUACCUAACCAGAAAGCCACGGCUAACUACGUG